rnacentral:rRNA from 1 species
UAUGGGGGGGGCAAGCGUUGUUCGGAAUUACUGGGCGUAAAGGGCUCGUAGGUGGCCAACUAAGUCAGACGUGAAAUCCCUCGGCUUAACCGGGGAACUGCGUCUGAUACUGGAUGGCUUGAGUGUGGGAGAGGGAUGCGGAAUUCCAGGUGUAGCGGUGAAAUGCGUAGAUAUCUGGAGGAACACCGGUGGCGAAGGCGGCAUCCUGGGCCACGACUGACGCUGAGUGAGCGAAAGCCAGGGGAGCAAACGGG